GUUCAGAGCUUGGGUAAAUGUGCAACCACGCUGCUUCCUCAGUGCUCCAAACAGAGAGAAUUCUUAUGCAAAUUUAAGAAUCUGCCCUUGUGGAGAGGAGCGAUCUCCUUUUACAACUGUCUGGGAUUUGUAUGGAGGUGGAAUUCGGCAGUUACAGAAAACCAGUAGGAGCCUUCUGAGCUCACAGAACCUCCAGAACAUCAGCUGGAAGUGCAGUGGCUGCAUCUGGAGACCCUGUGCCCCAGUCCUCGGGCUGAGCUUUGAAGAAGAGACCUCCAGCAGCACUGGUGAGUACAGAGAUGGCCACGGAGACAGAAAUGAAAGCGGCAGAGCACCGCGAGGGCACAGCCGAGGCUUGUGGAGACAGCGCUCCAACUCUCCAGACAGCAUGUCUACUUCUGGAGAACUCCUCCUGGGACUGAAGAUGUUAAAUGUGCAGCAGGAACCAAGUUGCACUGCCUCUGCUCUAUCGGCCUAUGAAUUAAGGAAGUCCAUGUGGAAAGAAGAGAGGAAUGCAAUUGAAAAAAAAACAGAAUGGAGACCACAGAGAUCAGAAGCUGUCAAGCAGUUUCCCUGAGAUCCUGCCCUGCUCUGACGUCACCUACACUUGCAGCAAGAGGAACCAGGCUGACAUGGACCAGUCAGAGGGAAAGAGGGCACAGAGGCCCUAGACUAGAAAAAAUUUCUCUCUUGUUUGGCCAAAAGGCUGGGUGUGGACAGAAUGGGAGACCAGGCAGCUUUCCUGGAAUAAGCAACUAUUUCUUUUGAUCCUCUGUGUUCUGGCCAUCUUUCUGGGGAACUUGAAAAAGUUUUCUGAAUUUAGGUUCCCAGUCAUUUCUAUACUUAGUCCUUAUUCUUGAUUGAAUCCAUUCUAGAACAAAAAGGCAAAUUUUACAGCAAUGUUGAUAAUCAGAGCUGUGUACACCAAGGAAAUGAAUACCUGUUAUCAAAAUGUUGGAAUCCUUCUCUAACACUUGAUAACAAACCCCUCCUCUGAGUCCCCAGCAUGUCGCUACUGCCACCGUGGCCACCCUGGCCCUAUUCCUAAAAUCUUUUGCAUCACCCCAUAUGGCAGCUCUUAAAGAAGCAACGUCUGGCCUCAGUAGAACGUGCCCCACAGUCCUGCUUCACCACCCCAUGACCGAUGUUCUUUCUAAUUGGCUGGUUCUUGGCUUUUAUAGCUAAGUUUAUUGCAUAUUAGCCUUGUAUAAAGAUCCCAGAAAAUAACAGGCAUGAAUCAAGUGGGCGGGUGUAGCACAAUGGGAAGUAAUGGGAAAUGUGGGAACCUGGAGGGCUCCCACCUCUUAAAGAAGCAGUUGCUAUGUUGUCGUUGCCAUGGGGGAAUGUAGGCUGAAGGUGCUAAAUCUUCUGUACUUCAAGAGAAACCAGAAAUUGUGCUUUUAAUAAAAAAUCUCUGAUUUCUUAACAUUGAGGUACCAUCAGUGUUGGCCUGCUAUUGUGUGGGCCCAGCUAGACUGGAUAGGCUCCAUGUGUCAUGAGUUUGCAACCCUGCUUUAAGCAUGUGGAGUUGUCAGAGCCUUCUUAUGCCUCACUCAUGAAACAGGCCAGAGGGAAGAUGCGGCCCUAUGGCUGGGUAAUUAAAUAUAAUUUCAAAUUGAAACUUUGAAGCAGUAAGUGAAAUUUAUAAUUACAGCAAUCUCCUUUUUUACUGUACUUUAGAUUUUGCCAAGUGUUAUCAAAUAUGGCAUUUGAGGCUUUCCCUGAUAAUCAGGGUACUACUAUGUGUUUUAAGAGUUGAAAAAAUCCACAUGGAAAGAUUAUGAAAAUUGCCAAAUAGCAUCCAGAUAUAUUCAGAAUUGGGUCUUCACUUUAGUACCAUUGAAUUGAUCCUUCCAAAACAUUUGUUUAAAAUGUCUAUUAUACCUUCAGUCUUAUAGAUAUACCAGAUGUAACACCAGGUAAUUAUUCUAGAACGAUAGCCUUUUGGACCCUAUUUCUCAUACUCAUUUGAAGUGAUCCAUCAGUAUAUGCAAAACAUGUCAUGAAGGUCAAAACAUGUGUUUGGAAUAGAUUACAUUAUUGUUACCAGCUCUUUAAUAAAAUUAUACAUCAAGUUCUUAGCCAUGUGAACUUUAAGUUCUUUCAGAGUGAUCAGAGCAGAAUUUCUUUGGCGAAUGGCCGGGGGUGGGAGUCAUGUGCCAGUCCAUAGCGGAGGGUUAAGAGGCAUUCAGUGUUUUCACUGUGUCCCCUUCAGCUUCUGUAAUUUGCUCUAAGAGGAGAUUGUCCUAGUUCUCUAUUCCUGCUUCACCGCAGAUGGACACAUAUGGUGCAGACACAGACCUGACCUAGAGCCUGGAACCACAUCCAGCUCAACUCAGCA
ensembl:lncRNA